rnacentral:lncRNA from 1 species
ACCUGCACACAGGGUGCCUUUUUUCCUGGCUUUUAGGGCCUCCUCGUCUGGCUCCGCCUCCCCCGGGAACAUCUCUUGGCUCCUGCCUGAUCGUCCCAAGCCAGCCCUCUCUGGCCUGCAGUGAGAGGGUAUCCGAAGGCACCCAUCUGCCUGUCCUUGGACGCGCGCCAGCUCUGGUCAUUAGCCACAGGGUGUGUGUGUGUCAAGGUCGCUUCCUUUAUUCCGUGGCCAGAGUAUUGAAAGAUCUCCUGGCCCACUCGGAACUCUACCCUUGAAACAGAAACGGAUUUUCAAAACACCUCUGCAACUGGCCCAUUUUACUAUUACUGUUUCUUGUGGUUUCAUAUUGAGGUUUUUGGCUCAUUGCAUUUGACCUGGGGUUUAUUUUUAGUAGCGAAGACAGAGUUCAAUUAAUGUCAGAGACAUGAGGGCAAAUGCAGAGGAGGGAUUCGUAAGUCUAGGGGAAAAUGUGCCUAAUUUUGUUUCUUCUGAUAAUAUCUGUCACGCUGGCAGACACGCAGCUUCCUCGGCGGUGCCUUCGAUGGGCUUUGCAGAGGCAGGGAAUCUGCCCACCCCCCCAAAUGGAACCGUCUCUGGGUCUCCUGCAGUCCAGUUUAUCCAGCAGCUGGCCACACAGCUGGCCGUUAUCGUUAUGGCUGAUAAUUGUUAUAAUUAAUAUUAGAGUAAAGGCCACUCUUUGGAACCUUCAUUUCUUAUCAUCUCCCCAGUGGGUUCGGUUUCCUUCUGUCUCCAGGAGCAGCACCCGACUGGCUUGACUAUCCGCUCUCCUCCCUGCACCGUGAGUGCUUUGAGAACAGGCUCUGGGUCUGGCUCUCUCUUUAGUCCCAGCCUUUGGCACCGUGACAGGAGCACAGGCUAUGCUCAGGGAAUGUUUUCCUGGAUCGCCUGCAUUUUUUUGGAUACCGGGUGUGGGUGAGAAAGUCAGACUUCAUGCAGCCACUGCUCUUUCUGCAAGGGCUCCCCGGUCUGUUCUGGGGUUGGGGGAAACCAAGCCCUAUUUGCUUAGGACUUAGCAGUUGAUCAAGUUCCUUCUUGUUCUUCCGUCUUUCUUUUCUUCCAUGGCGAUUUACGGAGAACCUGCAGGGGCCAUUAUGCAGGUGCCUGGAAUAAAGGAG